rnacentral:lncRNA from 1 species
CAGGAACAUGGAAUAUCUUUCCAUGUCUUGACAUCUUCUUUAAUUUCCUUGAUUAAUGUUUUAUAGUUCUUGGCAUAUAGGUCCUUUGCCUCCUUGGUCAGUUGUAUUCCCAGGUAUUUGCUUUUUGGGAGUGCAAUUUUAAAAGGUAUUGUGUUUUUUUGUAUUCCUUUUCUAACACUUCAUUGUUAGUAUACAGAAAUGCUACUGAUUUCUGAAUGUUAAUCUUCUAUCCUGCUACUUUGCUGAGUUUGUUGAUCAGUUCAAGUAGUUUUGGGGUUGAGUCCUUAGGGUUUUCUAUGUAUAGUAUCAUGUCAUCUGCAUACAGUGACAGUUUUACCUGUUCUCUUCCUAUUUGGAUGCCUUUUAUUUCUUUUGUUUGUCUUAUUGCUGUGGCAAGGCCUUCCAGUACUAUGUUGAAUAACAGUGGUGAGAGUGGGCAUCCUUGUCUCGUUCCAGACUUGAGUGAGAAGGCUUUCAGCUUUUCUCCAUUGAGGAUUAUAUUUGCUGUGGGUUUAUCAUAAAUGGCUUUGAUUAUGUUCAGGUAUGUUCCCUCUCUACCCACUUUGGUGAGAGUUUUCAUCAUGAAUGGAUGUUGUACUUUGUCAAAGGCUUUUUCUGCAUCUAUUGAAACUAUAAUUUGGUUUUUGACUUUUCUUUUGUUAAUGUGGAGUAUGACAUUGAUUGAUUUGCGUAUGUUGAACCAACCUUGUGCACCUGGGAUGAAUCCCACCCGGUUGUGGUGUGUGAUCAUUUUGAUAUGUUUUUGGAUUCGGCUGGCUAAAAUUUUGCUGAGAAUUUUUGCAUCUAUAUGCAUCAAAGAUAAUGGCUGAUAGUUUUCUUUUUGGGGGUUAUCUUUGUCUGGUUUUGGAAUGAGGGUGAUGGUGGCAUCAUAAAAUGUCUUUGGGAGUGUUCCUUCUUCUUCAACCUUUUGAAAAAGUUUAAGGAGAAUGGGUAUUAGUUCUUCUUUGUAUGUUUGGUGGAAUUCUCCUGUAAGCCAUCUGGUCCUGGACUUUUAUUUGUAGGAAGUGUUUUUAUGGCGUAUUCAAUUUCAUUUCUAGCGAUUGGUCUGUUCAGUUGAUCUAUUUCUAUUUGAUUCAGUUUUGUCAGGCUAUAAGACUAGCAAGUUGUCCAUUUCUUCCACAUUAUUGGAAUGGUUUAACAUACUUAAAAAACAGGGCAAGCACAAAUCAAAACCAAACAUUUUAUUCACUAAAAAUCAAAAGCAAAGUACUCAAGCAGAAAAUAAAUGGAAACCAUCCAACCAAAAAAAUAAAGGAGCUAUGGAGAAUCAUGGAAUCAACUGGAAAACGAGGUUUAAAAUGUCAAUAAAUGUAUAUCUAUCAAUUAUCACCUUAAAUGUCAAUGUAUUUAAUGCUCCAGUCAAGAGACAUAGAGUUGCUGGUUGGGCAAAAAAGCAAAACCCUUCAAUCUGCUGCCUACAAGAAACUCACCUUAGGACAAAGGACACAUAUAGAUUGAAAGUGAGGGGGUGGUAAAAGAUAUUUCAUGCCAAUGGACAAGAUAGGAAAGCAGGAGUUUCAAUACUAAUAUCAGACAAAAUAGACUUUAAAAUGAUGGCCAUUGAGAAAGACAAAGAAGGACACUAUUUAAUGGUUAAAGGAUCCAUUCAAGAAUAGGAUAUUACAAUGUCAACAUAUAUUCCCCAAAUAUAGGAGCACCCAGAUACAUACACGAAAUAUUAACAGAAAUAAAAGGAGAAAUUGAUUGGAAUACAAUCAUAGUAGGAGAUUUUAACACCCCACUCACAUCAAUGGACAGAUCCUCUAGAUAAAAUCAAUAAAGCAACAGAGAACCUAAGAGAAACAAUAGAAAUGUUAGACUUAAUUGACAUUUUCAGGGCAUUACAUCCAAAAAAAUCAGAAUACACAUUCUUCUCAAGUGCACAUGGAACAUUCUCAAGAAUUGAUCAUAUAUUGUGGCACAAAGCUAACCUCAACAAAUUUAAGUGUAUAGAAGUUAUUUCAAGUAUCUUCUCUGACCCAAUGGCAUGAAACUAGAAAUCAACCAGGAAAAGAAAUGAGAAAAAAACCUACUACAUGAAGACUAAACAACGUGCUACUAAAAAACCAAUGGGUCAAUGAGGAAAUCAAGAAAGAAGUUAAAAAAUACCUUGAGGCAAAUGGUAAUGAAGACACAACCUCUCAAAAUCUAUGGGCCACCACAAAAGCAGUGCUCAGAGGGAAGUUCAUACCAAUACAGGCCUUCCUCAAAAAAGAAGAAAGGUCUCAAAUUUACAACUUAUCCCACUACCUAAAUGAAUUAGAAAAAAAAAAAAAAAAAAAAAA